AGCCCUCGUAGCUCAGUGGAUAGAGCUCUUGCCUUCUAAGCAAGUGGUCGCGAGUUCGAUCCUCGCCGUGGGUUU
rnacentral:tRNA from 2 species